CAGACUUGAUGGGCUUUGAUAGACUUGUGUAGGAUAGGUGGGAGGCUUUGAAGAGCGGAUGCUAGUUCGCUUGGAGCCAACGUUGAAAUACCACCCUGGUGUGUUUGAGGUUCUAACCUGGAUCCAUUAUCUGGAUCGGGGACAGUGCAUGGUAGGCAGUUUGACUGGGGCGGUCUCCUCCCAAAGUGUAACGGAGGAGUUCGAAGGUACGCUAGUUACGGUCGGACAUCGUGACGAUAGUGCAAUGGCAUAAGCGUGCUUAACUGCGAGACUGACAAGUCAAGCAGAUGCGAAAGCAGGACAUAGUGAUCCGGUGGUUCUGUAUGGAAGGGCCAUCGCUCAACGGAUAAAAGGUACUCUAGGGAAACCAGGCUGAA
rnacentral:rRNA from 1 species